GCUCGGUGGGCAUCUGCUGAGGUGUGGUACCUGUUGGGAAUGGAGGUUAGCCAAAACCCUCUUCUUGGUAUGGCUCUGUUCCCGUCAGGCUACCUUACAACUCAGUUUCUACAACUGUUAAAGGACUAAGUGCUGAAAGGUCUUCUGUUUUUGCAUUUUGAUAGUUUUGCCAUGUAAAAAUCAGUUUGCGGAGCAGUAACCAGAAGAGCUGGAGAGGUGGGGCUGCCCAAAAGAUCAAUAAUGAGUCCCAGCUGUCAGACACUGAGUUACAAGGUUUAGAUUUUCACUGUUGAUUUUGGUUUUGCUUUGAUCUGAUUUUCUAUCCCAGUUCUUCCCUAUUGGAUUAAGAGUCCCUGCCCUGAUUUUCCUCACUGAUGGAUGGUGAACUGGAAAUGUAAGCCAAAUGCACAUACAGGAAGGAGCAAGAAAGGAAAGAGGCAAGUUGUCACAGAGCAGGGACUCCUGUGACUCUUUCCACUUUAAGGGUGCUUGAGGAUGCAAGACAUACUCAAGUGCUCUUGAGCUUGCAACUCAGUGAAUCACGAGGAAAUGAAGGCAGCGAACCCAUCACCAAGGGGCAGAUACACCUACUAAUCUGUACUUCAUUGCAUCUGGGGGAAACAGCUGUGUCUUUUGCCCAGUUUUCCAACAGGGUCAGCUGCUGCUGAUUUGCUACCGCACAGAACUCUCCGAUGUUCCUCUUGAGAGAAGCUGACAUUACAUCACCACCCCCAACUCUGGUCUAUGUUUGUAUUUCUCUAGGAAACCCUUUUCUGACCAGGAAACAACAGACAUUUUCCUAUGCAUUUUUAAAAACCUGCCACCCCUUUCCUCUUGUGGAAUUCUUGAUGCGAUGCAUGAGGAUGUUGUCAUGAGGAAGCACUGUUGGAUGACUCACCAUUAGCCACUAUUUGUAGAUGGCCCCUUCUCUUUUGGGAGUGUAGUGAAAGCUGGCCAGGGCGGGCCUCUUCACCCUAGCACCUUCAGACCCUGCGCUGUCUAGAGAUCAACAGUCCAGUCUGGCUUUCAGCUUCUCCUUGGACCCAAACUGCUCUGUGCUCAUUAUUGUGACCCUACAGUAAGUCUUUGUAUUAAAAGGACAAAUUAAAUUCCUUUAUCAUGA